UGUUAACAUGCUUGGCGUGCCUGGCUCCCUGUAUGCCAUUUGCAGAGCCCAUCAGAACAGUGAUGGCUUUAACUAAUGGCGUGCGAGGAGUCAUGCAUGUUGUUAGUUAUUAGUUAA
rnacentral:pre_miRNA from 1 species